rnacentral:rRNA from 1 species
UGGGGAAUAUUGGACAAUGGGGGCAACCCUGAUCCAGCCAUGCCGCGUGUGUGAAGAAGGCCUUUUGGUUGUAAAGCACUUUAAGCAGUGAAGAAGACUCCAUGGUUAAUACCCAUGGACGAUGACAUUAGCUGCAGAAUAAGCACCGGCUAACUCUGUGCCAGCAGCCGCGGUAAUACAGAGGGUGCAAGCGUUAAUCGGAAUUACUGGGCGUAAAGCGAGCGUAGGUGGCUUGAUAAGUCAGAUGUGAAAGCCCCGGGCUUAACCUGGGAACGGCAUCUGAUGCUGUUAGGCUAGAGUAGGUGAGAGGAAGGUAGAAUUCCAGGUGUAGCGGUGAAAUGCGUAGAGAUCUGGAGGAAUACCGAUGGCGAAGGCGGCCAUCUGGCAACAUACUGACACUGAGGUUCGAAAGCGUGGGUGGCAAACA